UGAAGAGUUUGAUCAUGGCUCAGAUUGAACGCUGGCGGCAGGCCUAACACAUGCAAGUCGAACGGUAACAGGAAGCAGCUUGCUGCUUCGCUGACGAGUGGCGGACGGGUGAGUAAUGUCUGGGAAACUGCCUGAUGGAGGGGGAUAACUACUGGAAACGGUGGCUAAUACCGCAUAACGUCGCAAGACCAAAGAGGGGGACCUUCGGGCCUCUUGCCAUCAGAUGUGCCCAGAUGGGAUUAGCUAGUUGGUGAGGUAACGGCUCACCAAGGCGACGAUCCCUAGCUGGUCUGAGAGGAUGACCAGCCACACUGGAACUGAGACACGGUCCAGACUCCUACGGGAGGCAGCAGUGGGGAAUAUUGCACAAUGGGCGCAAGCCUGAUGCAGCCAUGCCGCGUGUAUGAAGAAGGCCUUCGGGUUGUAAAGUACUUUCAGCGGGGAGGAAGGUGUUGUGGUUAAUAACCGCAGCAAUUGACGUUACCCGCAGAAGAAGCACCGGCUAACUCCGUGCCAGCAGCCGCGGUAAUACGGAGGGUGCAAGCGUUAAUCGGAAUUACUGGGCGUAAAGCGCACGCAGGCGGUCUGUCAAGUCGGAUGUGAAAUCCCCGGGCUCAACCUGGGAACUGCAUUCGAAACUGGCAGGCUUGAGUCUUGUAGAGGGGGGUAGAAUUCCAGGUGUAGCGGUGAAAUGCGUAGAGAUCUGGAGGAAUACCGGUGGCGAAGGCGGCCCCCUGGACAAAGACUGACGCUCAGGUGCGAAAGCGUGGGGAGCAAACAGGAUUAGAUACCCUGGUAGUCCACGCCGUAAACGAUGUCUACUUGGAGGUUGUGCCCUUGAGGCGUGGCUUCCGGAGCUAACGCGUUAAGUAGACCGCCUGGGGAGUACGGCCGCAAGGUUAAAACUCAAAUGAAUUGACGGGGGCCCGCACAAGCGGUGGAGCAUGUGGUUUAAUUCGAUGCAACGCGAAGAACCUUACCUGGUCUUGACAUCCACGGAAGUUUUCAGAGAUGAGAAUGUGCCUUCGGGAACCGUGAGACAGGUGCUGCAUGGCUGUCGUCAGCUCGUGUUGUGAAAUGUUGGGUUAAGUCCCGCAACGAGCGCAACCCUUAUCCUUUGUUGCCAGCGAUUAGGUCGGGAACUCAAAGGAGACUGCCAGUGAUAAACUGGAGGAAGGUGGGGAUGACGUCAAGUCAUCAUGGCCCUUACGACCAGGGCUACACACGUGCUACAAUGGCGCAUACAAAGAGAAGCGACCUCGCGAGAGCAAGCGGACCUCAUAAAGUGCGUCGUAGUCCGGAUUGGAGUCUGCAACUCGACUCCAUGAAGUCGGAAUCGCUAGUAAUCGUGGAUCAGAAUGCCACGGUGAAUACGUUCCCGGGCCUUGUACACACCGCCCGUCACACCAUGGGAGUGGGUUGCAAAAGAAGUAGGUAGCUUAACCUUCGGGAGGGCGCUUACCACUUUGUGAUUCAUGACUGGGGUGAAGUCGUAACAAGGUAACCGUAGGGGAACCUGCGGUUGGAUCACCUCCUUACCUUAAAGAAGC
rnacentral:rRNA from 1 species